rnacentral:lncRNA from 1 species
AGGUAAGGGGAGAGCAAGCUAAAGUAAACAGCUGUACACAACACAUUUUUUACUUCAAGAUAUUGCCUAGCACCAGCCUGGAUCCCAAACCCUGCAAGAUCCAGACACUGUUUUUGCUUCUUUAUUUUGUUGUUUUUACUGGCUGUGGCAUACCCCAGGCAUGUGUUCCUUUCCCAGAACUGCCUGAUCGAGCAGGUAACACCACCCAUAGAUCACCUCACCUUCUUGCCUAUCUAGAACAGUCUUUUCCCAGUCUCUUUUUCUCUCCCAUAAAACAGAAAACUAAGGUAAUGCUCAUCCUUCCCAGCUUGCUACAAAAUAGUGGUUGUGAUUUUUUUCUUUAUCAUCUCUUUACCCUGUUUAUUUGACAAAUAGAUUUCUCA